UGACUACUCAAGCCUAGCUUGGUAUUGGGGUUCGCGGUCUCGUGACUCCUAAAAUCAGUGGCGGUGCCGUCUGGCUCUAAGCGUAGUAAUUUUCUCGCUAUGGAGUCCGGUCGGUUGCUUGCCAAAAUCCCCUAAUUUCUCACGG
rnacentral:misc_RNA from 1 species